rnacentral:sRNA from 1 species
GCUUGGUUCUUCGCCGGAAUGUUGGCCAGCGUCACGUCACUACACCGGCAAUGAUUCACCCCAGGAGAGUUCGAGAGCUCCACCAGCUGAUUUCGAGCUCGCGCUGAUCGACCUCAUGCAUGCGAACCGACGCCCUUGCCGCUGGAUCGAUCUUCUCUCGGCACGAAUCAAGCUUCUCAAACCUCAAAAUCGAGUUCUUGUUGCUGGGGUCGACGCCCUCCCCUCCGAACUGAAGCGAAUCGAUGUAUGGAUGGAGCUCCUUAAUCUGUGACUCGACAUAACCCACCGCUCGGUUUGCUCUGGUAUGAAUCAGCCAUUGCCUAGCUGCAAAACCCAUCUUUCUUCUUUGCUUUCUCUUGUUUUUUUUCUUUUCUCUCAUUUUUGCUUCCGUGUGAAUGGAGAUGGAUAAAAGGAUAAACCACCAGUCAUUUUCUUUUAGUUGCUGUUUCUGGUGUUGAUUUCAAUCUAAAGCUGUGCGGGAGAUGAGCUAGGAAAGCAAAAACCAAACUCUUUCUUUUUCUUCAUCGGUAGACUACUCACGCUCAUAUGACAGCACAAAUGGCUACAAAGAUGGAGUACAUUCUUGAUCGUACUGUGUAUCCAAAAUUAAUUGUUUAAUAGCUUUUAUGUAGUUAGCACAAUAGCCAAUCUAUUGUAUUAGUUAGCU